rnacentral:rRNA from 1 species
UGAGGGAUAUUGGUCAAUGGGCGCAAGCCUGAACCAGCGACGCCGCGUGGGUGAAGAAGGUCUUCGGAUCGUAAAGCCCUUUUCCCACUGAAGAGGAAGGACGGUAGGUGGGGAAGAAGUCUCGGCUAACUACGUGCCAGCAGCCGCGGUAAAACGUAGGAGACAAGCGUUAUCCGGAGUUGCUGGGCGUAAAGGGCGUGCAGGUGGCGUCUUAAGUCUGUUGUGAAAGCGCCUGGCUUAACCGGGCGAGGCCAAUGGAGACUGAGAGGCUGGAGGACGGCGGAGGGGUGUGGAAUUCCGGGUGUAGUGGUGAAAUGCGUAGAGAUCCGGAGGAACACCAGAGGCGAAGGCGGCACUCUAAGCCGUACCUGACACUGAGACGCGACAGCACGGGGAGCAAACG